GAUGAACGCUAGCGGCAGGCUUAAUACAUGCAAGUCGAGGGGCAGCAUGGCUGUAGCAAUACAGCUGAUGGCGACCGGCAAACGGGUGCGGAACACGUACGCAACUUACCCAUAACUAAUGAAUAGCCCUCCGAAAGGAGGAUUAAUACAUCGUAAUAAUUAUUGGUGGCAUCACCGAAAAGUUAUAGCUCCGGAGGUUAUAGAUGGGCGUGCGGCUGAUUAGGUAGUUGGUUGAGGUAACGGCUCACCAAGCCUGCGAUCAGUAACGGGUGUGAGAGCACGACCAGUCACACGGGCACUGAGACACGGGCCCGACUCCUACGGGAGGCAGCAGUAAGGAAUAUUGGUCAAUGGACGCAAGUCUGAACCAGCCAUGCCGCGUGAAGGAUGAAGGUCCUCUGGAUUGUAAACUUCUUUUACAGGGGAAGAAACCCGGAAAUUCUUUUUCGGUUGACGGUACCCUGGGAAUAAGCACCGGCUAACUCCGUGCCAGCAGCCGCGGUAAAAC
rnacentral:rRNA from 1 species